UGCAACCACUUAAAGUGUUCCUGAAGGGACUAAUUACUGCUGAGCUCAUUGUGUGCAUUUCGCCUUCAGCACUGCUGGUUGUGCUGCCUGGUUUGGAUGGAGCCCGGGGUCACAUGGCGUUUCCUUUUGCAUCCUGUUCCCCGCUCUGUGCUAUCUGCUGGGCUCCUGGUGCUCUCACUUCCCAGUUCAAUAGCCUCCUUGUUGGUACGCUGCGCACUGUCACAACCAACUUCCCCACUCUGUGCUCAUUGUUGGUGGAAAGUGUAUCCAGAAAAAGACAAAUCACUUCCUCCUUGGAGUGGCUGAUGCCUUCCCCACAGUGCUGUGCUGGCUCUGGUUGUGUGUUGGCAGAGCUGGGCCGGGGCUGCAGAGCCCCUUCUGAGAGCUCUGACUGCAUGGCAGUGCUGCUUCCUACGCCAGAGAGCAUCUGAUCCUGCAGGCAUCCCCUGCCCUGCAGGCACAGCCAGGAGGAAGAAAGGGGCAGAGCCUGAUCCUGCUCCUCACUUUGUCUUUGGUAGCAAAAACAGCUGUUGCUUAGAAAGGCUUUUCCCAGGGGCAGGGCGAGGUGUGCAGGGCUGGAAGCAGCCGGAGGAUGGAGCAGGUCCUGCUGCCCCGCUGUCACCGUGGUGCUCCCAUGGGCAGGCAGCAGUGCUAGGAUUGGGCACCGUGUGCACGCGCGUCCCUUCCCUUGUACGGCCUGUGCUCCAGGCGCUGCAGCUACAGUGAGGUUGUGAUGAUAGCUGGUGGGGGGGUGGGUGUGUGGUGGGACCCUGAGCCCAUACCCAGAGGGGACAGCCCUUCCCAGGGCUCCUCGUGGCGUUGGCUCUCGCUCUCCUCCAUUGUAAGGACGUCACUCACACGCGGCUCCCGCAGCAUCUGUCAGAACGCGUCCUCCCGUCCUUGGCGCUCCUGGGGAGAGGGAGCUGUUGGCCCCCUAAUGAGCCUGACAUCAAUUAAUCAUCAGCUUCAAAAUUAGCAUUGUGGUAGUGUACGUGGGAGGGAAGCCGUUCCCCAGAUGGAAGUAAGAAUAGCCUGGGUUAUCUCCCUGCUCCCUGGGGAGGUGGUGGCACUGGGGCCACUACUGCAGCUGAGUGGGGCUGGGGGUCCCUCACUCGUCUGCUGGGGGCUGCUGGGGACCCCUGGCUGCCCAUCACAAAGCUCGGGGUGAAGCUCUGGGGGGGGCUCAGCACCAAAAUGGUCUUCUGUGGGUGAAGGAAACUCGUUUGGGGUCACCACGCUGUGUCCAGGUGCCCUGACCCUCUCCAGGGUGGUGGCAGCUCUGCGCCCUCAGCAGCUCGGAUUCAUAGAAUUGGUUGUGAAGAUUGGGAAGGACUGCUAAGAUUGGUGAGCCCUGCGUUCUCUGUUAGAAGGCGUUUAGUGCAGAGUGGAGGAGGACAUUUUGCUUUCCUGCUGGAGAUGCGUGAGGGCUCCUCGGCUGUCGGGUGAUGGAUGGACAGACCAGACCAAGUGUCCACCAAAGCCCAGCUGAGGCCGCGGAGAAUUUUGUUUGCAACGCAUUGCUCUGCACAAAGCUCUCAGUCACAAGGAGAAGGGGACAAAGGGUUCCCUGUUCCUCCCGUCCCACUGGGUGCAAUUCCAACAGUUAAAAAGCAAAUGUGAGUUGUUUGUCUCUGUGAAUAUAAAGCUUCCCCAAGCAUGGCUGUGUUCUGGCUGGGAGCGGGGCGGCUGGCUCCGCUAAUGACUGUGUGCUCGUUUGGAGCUCUGCUCACUGCAAAUGGGAGCCAGCGUGAGCCAGGAGCCUUUCCCUGCUACCCCUGCUAGGGGGACGUGGGAUGAGGAGGGGACAGCCUGGGCAAUGAACCCCGUUUGGGGCAGCCCUGGGUGCAGGGCACACACCAGCAGUGUGAGGGGAUGGGUUUGGGGGGCUGCCUGAGCACAGGUUGCUGAUCUCCUGGUGUUGGUUCCCAGCAGGAAGGGGAUGGGUGUGCAUGGAUGAUGGUGCUGGGCUCUGCCGGGUGCCCACCACACAGCCCUGUAGUGAGUGUGGGGCUGGAGGAGCCCCUCAGCACGUGGAUAUGUCUGUGCUGUCUGUGUGGAGCAUCCACAGCAGCACUGGGGCCACUGAGGUCAGUGCUGAUGGCACCCGGCGCUCUGUGGCUGUGGGGAGCUCAACCCCAAAUGUGUGGGAGCUGAGCUGUGCUCUCUGGCAGUGGUGGAGGGCAUCGUGCCCCCCGGCACGGGGUGUGGGGUGGACAGAGUGCGGGGCUGCACUGGGGCGUUCUGCUUCUGUGCUCGCUGUAAGAAUGCUUCCCCACUGUUCCUCCCAGUGCCAUGAGGACACCGGGGCAGGGAGGUGCUGGGACGUGGGAUGGGGGGCAAUCCAAAGCCCAGCUCGGUCUUCUGGGUGCAGCCACAGGUGGGUGCCGGACCUCCAGCACCCAAGACCUCCCUCCAUGCAGAGCAUGGCAACGUCCCCAGAUGUGCGGCACAUCUGGUGGGCACCGAAGCAGUUAAGAGAAGGGCCGAUUUGUGCUCUAAGAAACCCGCAGCUCCUUCCUCAGAUCCCGUGAAUCGGCCCAUUGCCUGGGUCGGAUAAAGCCCCAUUGAUCCAUGCUCUCCCCGCAGCUCGGUGCAGCUCGGGGCUCUGUGGCAGCACGGCGCUCUCCCAGCUUUUCUCUUCCUCCGCUGCUGAAGCAGAAUCAGGUGAAAUCGCCAUGGCAACGAGCAGAUGACAGCGAGUCUUGUUGCCUUGGAAAUGAGACAGGGAAAAAAAAAAGACCCAAAAAAACCCACCCAAAAGAGCCAUCUGGAAUUCUGAAUUUCCACCAUGUCCGCCCCGUGGCUUGUGCUGGGUGUGGAGCAGCACCAUCUGCCCCCAGGGCUUUCACUUUGCUUUUGUCCCCCUUUUCUGGUUUGGAUAAUUUUGCUGUGGAUCCCCUCGAGCUGCUGGUGGCUGCUGGAGGCUCAGGGUACCGGGGCUGAGCGCAGCCGUGUUGCGUGGGGCACACAUAGGUUGCACUGUGGGGGAGCACAGAGCUAUGGGGAAACUGAGGCACAGCGCUGAUCGACCCUGCCAUGGGAGCAGCCCUGGCUGCAUGGGGCACAGUCUGACCAGUGGGGGGAUUUCAGGCACUCCUGGGCUGGAGGUAUGACAGGCUGAGCAGCUUGAGCUCGUCCUGAUGGAGACAGAGCUGCAUUGGAUGUGCAGGUGGGGUGGUUUGGGGCCAAGCAUCCAUUGAAAGAAUAACCCACAAAUGGGCUGGGGGCCCGGGCUGGAUCUCUCCAGCGUGUUCGCUUGGAAAGUAGUGUAUGGGAGAGACCCAAUUAACUAGAUUUAUGGCUGCUCCAGCCUGAGAAAAUCUGAAUCCCUUUUAAAAGCUUGGCUCGCUGCAGCCAGACCGGGUUCAGGCUCCAGGUCUCCCAGCCCUGCCCUCAUUAGGAGGAGCUAUUCACUUAGCAGCAGCAGUGCCCCAGAAGUGCUGAUUCGGCUGAAGUCCCAUCCCGGCUGUCACUGCUGCACUGCUGCUAAUUUGCUGCUCCUGCCUGCUGCCAACAGGGAGCUGGCAUGUGCUGCAGGGCUGCAGGGAUGGCCCUGGUCAUGGAAGCAGACAUGGUUAUGGGGAUGGUUAUGGGACUGGUCACAGGUAUAGGUCACAGGUGUGGGGCUGGCUGUGACUGCGGGGAUGGUUUAUGAGAUGGCUCAGACUGCCUUGCGCAUGCUGUCCCUGCCAGCUAUGCCCACUGCCACCCCUCUGUUUGACCCCACGUUGGGGCUGAACCCAGGGCACACUGAGAUCCAUCCUCAUCCCUGUGGCCGGUGUCACCCCGGGGUCACCAGGAAGGAAGGAUUCAUUAAACCACAGGGAGAAAGAUGACGAGUUGUGACCGCCGCCUGCCCAGCAGCAUGAAUCAGAAAUGGAUGUAAGAAUGGAGGAUAAAGCCACGUUACUCCACGCGGAAACACUGCUGUCGGCACGCCAAGCCGGGGUCCCCCAGUCGUGCGCUGCAGGCUGGAACCUGCAGGGUCCUGGGUUCCGCUCUGCCCCCAGCUGCAGCGGGUUCUGGGUUGGAGGCAGCAGGAGGAAGAGGUUGUGAAGCGCUUUGAAGGGGCGGCAGCCAUCUGCAGGGCUGGGCAGCUGCCUGUGGCGGAGCAGCGCCCCGAAGCGCAGCCCCGAUGGCGCACGCAGCCCUGCCUCCCUGCGCCCGUGUGCGGGGUUGGCUGCCACGUGGCCCACAUGUGCACAAAUCCUCACAGCGGCCCUCCUGGCCAAAGCACAUGGGGUGCACGUGGGGCGCAGAGCCGCCGGCCCAGCGGGAGCCGACGGCCGUGUGCGGAAAUGCACUGUCACGAGCUGCAGGAGCUGCAGGAGCUGCAGGAGCUGAUGGUUUCCUCAUUCCUAGAUGUGCUUGGCCACGUCUGCAGUGCCCGGCUAUGGGAUGUGGCUGCGCCCCAUUGCGAUGGUAGAGCAGCUGGCAUCGCCGGGUGAAGGAAAUCUGCGUGUGCAGAUGGUGGUUGGGGUGAGCCGGGCGUACUGCCUCAGUUUCCCCGCCACAAUUUGUUCGCAAGGACAGAGCUGCAGAGGGGUGGGGAGAGCUGCUGGGGCGGUGGCAGGCGGGCAGAAUGAGGGGCUGUGGGGGCAGCAGGAUGAGGGCUGUGGGGGCAGCACGGUGGGGCACAGGGCCGGGGUUGGGGCUGCGCUUCUGAGCUGGGAUGGAGGAGACGCGCCAAGCAGGAGCUCUGUGGGACACGUCCCUGGUGGGCAGUGAGCCCAGCCCAGGCUGAGUGCCCGACUGACCCCGUGGCUGAGCCGGCCCUGCUGCUCUGCGUGCCGGCAGCUGCAAACAUCUGGCUGCAGCAGCUUGCUAAAUCGAUGAGGAGAGGAAUCCGGCGCGCCGCCGCCGUUCCCACACUGCAGCCCUUCCUGGAGCUCCGGUUUCGGCAGGGCUCAGCCGGCCCCUCACCGACACCUGGCAGUGGGGCUGCGGUGCUGUCGCUGCCCAGGGGACGCAGCUGCCCCGAGCGCAGUGUGUGGAGGGGCCCUGCCUGUGUUCAGGUGAGCCAGUGUGCAAACCUGUCCCCCCUAGAAGGAUGCUGGCUCCCUCUAUCCCCAGGUGCAGAGCAGGCUGACGGCUGGUUCUGCCCCGCCGUGCCCCAUCCAUACUGUGUCUGCAGGCCCCCCUCACUGCCUGCACAUCCCCAUCCCUGUGUGCCGUGCUGGGUGCCCCACAUUCCGGCCUUGGCUGGGGGCUCUGCUGGUGCUUGCCAGCCCCGCUCACCCCACUGUGCUAUGGGCUUUCACCUGCUUCAUUUAACCUGUCUCAUCACGGCUGCCUGUGCUCAUCACUGCGUCGUAGGGUCACACGGAAAGUGGGGCUACAUGGCUGGGGGUGGACACACAGUCAGGGAUGGAGCAGUGCUGCUGAGCCCGUGGCACUGCCUGCAGCCCCAGGGAUGCAGGCUGUGGGUGCUGGGGAUGAGGGGGCACGGGCCCUGCUUGCGUGCUGGCUGUGCAGCCCCCCCUGUCCCCACAGGUCUCCUGGUGCUGUUGCACAGCUCGAGGGCUGUGAGCUGCGGUGUGUUAGGAGGAGCCAACCCCCUCCUGCUGCCAUUGGAGAUGUGGCUGUGGUUCACUAGAGAGCUGCGGUCACAGCCCAAAGGCUUGGAAUCGGGGGUCACAGCCCAGCUGUUGCCCACUGGAGUGUGCAUCAGUGUGUCAGGGGCACAUGGAGGGGGGAAGCUGUGCCCCAGGCUCAGCAGCACUGUGCCAGCUGCCAUAGAAAGGAGGUGGUGACCCCAUAGCUGUGUGUGUGCAUCUGUGUGUGUGUGUGUAAGCAGGUGUGCACACAGGUGUGCUAACAGGUGUGUGCACAUAUGUGCAUGGGGAUGUGCAGAAGUCCCUGUCCCAGUGGGGCUCUGCCCCUGCUGCCCGGGGUUCCCUCCUCCUGGUCCCUCUGCCCCGCUCCCAGGGAGGUGGCAUUUAUCUGUGGUGCAGCAAUACUAAUGUUUGGAUGCAGCAUGGGAGCCCUUCCAGCCCUUCCCCAUCCCCUCUCAGGUGGCAGAGGGGGACUCGGGGAGAGGGCAGGACGUCGUCAGAGGCACUUUGUCCCAUCACAGCCUUCUCCUUGUCCUCCACAGACCCCGAGUCCCAGAGGAAGAGAACGGUGCAGAAUGUUCUGGACCUUCGGCAGAACCUGGAGGAGACCAUGUCCAGCCUGCGGGGCUCCCAGGUGUCUCACAGCUCCCUGGAGAUGACGUGCUAUGACAGCGACGAAGCCAACCCGCGCAGCGUCUCCAGCCUGUCGAACCGCUCCUCGCCGCUCUCCUGGCGCUACGGGCAGUCCAGCCCGCGGCUGCAGGCGGGGGAUGCGCCGUCGGUGGGGGGCGGCUGCCGCUCCGAGGGCACCCCCGGCUGGUACAUGCACGGCGAGCGGGCGCAUUACUCACACACCAUGCCCAUGCGCAGCCCCAGCAAGCUGAGCCACAUCUCCCGGCUGGAGCUGGUGGAGGCGUUGGACGGCGACGACGUGGAGCUGAAGUCGGGAUAUAUGAGCGACAGUGAUUUGAUGGGGAAGACCCUGACGGAGGACGAUGACAUCACCACGGGGUGAGUGCCCGGAUCGGGGGCUGUUAGCAGAGCAGAGGGCUGAUAAGGAGCAGCGUGGUUAGGGGGCGGUGGGCUGGGCUGAUGGUUGGAUUUGGUGGCCUUGGGGGUCUUUUCUGACCGUGAUGCUUCUGUGGCUGUCUGAAAAGGGAGCGGUGAGCGGCUGCCGGCAGCAGCUCUAUGUUCAGAAGUGUUCCCACUGUUUCCACCGGUGGAUCUGAGCGCUGGUGGCACAUAGUGGGACCAGUGGGAUGGGAUCCCAGCAUCCCAGCAAGAGCAGGGCACCAAGGUUUUGAUGUCUCUGGCUGGCACCAUGUUGUCCCCUCGCUAUGGGUCCCCCUAGACCUCCAUCCUCCCACCCCAGGGCAUCUCCAGCCCAGCACAUCGCAUUUCACUCCCGCUGAGCUGGUGAGGUGCCCCUGGCUCUGGCGGGGCUCCAGUGCUUCAGCAUAUUGCAGGUUUCCUGUUUCAGUGCACGAGAAAAUAAAUAACACCAGCAUUUGAGUUGUCCCAGAGCAGGAGGAGGUAUUUGGCUCCAGCCCUGGAUGGGUGUCCAGAGUCACGUCAGCUCCUAGCGGGACCGAGCACAGCCUGUGCAUUCACAACACCGGGGUCCUUCUGGAGCUGUGCUGUGCUGGGGCUCAGUGCGGUCCCUUCUGGGUACCCCAUUAGUGGUGUGUCACCAGCACUGUGCGGUGGGCCUGGAGGGGAGGGGAAAGCUGCAUGGGGAGCCCACGCCUGGGGUACUGCGCUCAGCUCUCAAGUUGCACCAGGAGAGGCUGAGAUUGGGAAUCAGGGAGGAGAUCUCUAUGGGGAGAGUGUCCAAGCAUUGAGACGGGGCGGAGUCCCCAUCCCUGGGUGUAUUUUAGUGAUGGGUGGACAUGGCACCAAGGGACGUGCUUUAGUGGUGGGAUUCGGUGGGUCAGGGUGAUGGCUGGACCCAAGGAUCUUGAAGGACUUCUCCAGCCCAUGUGUCUCUGUGAUUCUCCCCUCAUGCUGGCAGGGCGUGGGGCUGCUUUGCCGACAGGGAGCACUCCCUGAGCACAGAGCAGCCCCACAGCCCCACAUCCAUCCUCCUCCACUGCCUCUGACCUAGAAAGCAAACACCGCCCCAGGCCGCAUCUCCCCGUGCCAUUAAUGCACCGGGCAGGAGCUGCAGAUGGGGCUGCCAGCCCCCGGGUCCCUGCUGCCGGGGUGCUGCAAUGCGCCGGCGCACACACGGGCUUGUAGGGCAGUGGGUCAGAGCCACCCCCAAUGCUGUGACACAGCCCCGUGGAGGGGGACGUGGUGACACAGCCCCUUGGAGACUGCGGGGCUGCGGGAUGGGAACUGGCUGGG